GAUGAACGCUGACAGAAUGCUUAACACAUGCAAGUCUACCAAGAAUCACUUCGGUGAGGAAUGAUGGCGGACGGGUGAGUAACGCGUAAAUAAUCUGCCCUUUAGACUGGGAUAUCAUUUGGAAACGAAGGUUAAUACCGGAUAUUAUGAGAUGGACGCAUGUUCAAUUUAUGAAAGCUAAAUGCACUAGAGGAGGGGUUUGCGUCCGAUUAGCUAGUUGGUGAGGUAAAGGCUCACCAAGGCCACGAUGGGUAGCCGGCCUGAGUGGGUGAACGGGCACAAGGGAACUGAGACACGGUCCUUACUCCUACGGGAGGCAGCAGUGGGGAAUAUUGGACAAUGGACCAAAAGUCUGAUCCAGCAAUUCUGUGUGCACGAUGAAGGUCUUCGGAUUGUAAAGUGCUUUCAGUAGGUAAGAAAAAAAUGACGGUACCUACAGAAGAAGCGACGGCUAAAUAUGUGCCAGCAGCCGCGGUAA
rnacentral:rRNA from 1 species